rnacentral:rRNA from 1 species
GAUGAACGCUGGCGGCGUGCCUAAUACAUGCAAGUCGAGCGAACAGACGAGGAGCUUGCUCCUCUGACGUUAGCGGCGGACGGGUGAGUAACACGUGGAUAACCUACCUAUAAGACUGGGAUAACUUCGGGAAACCGGAGCUAAUACCGGAUAAUAUAUUGAACCGCAUGGUUCAAUAGUGAAAGACGGCUUUGCUGUCACUUAUAGAUGGAUCCGCGCCGCAUUAGCUAGUUGGUAAGGUAACGGCUUACCAAGGCAACGAUGCGUAGCCGACCUGAGAGGGUGAUCGGUCACACUGGAACUGAGACACGGUUCAGACUCCUACGGGAGGGAGAAGUAGGGAAUCUUCCGCAAUGGGCGAAAGCCUGACGGAGCAACGCCGCGUGAGUGAUGAAGGUCUUCGGAUCGUAAAACUCUGUUAUUAGGGAAGAACAAAUGUGUAAGUAACUAUGCACGUCUUGACGGUACCUAAUCAGAAAGCCACGGCUAACUACGUG